rnacentral:lncRNA from 1 species
AUGUGUAAUAUCACCUGGUCAGUGCCUCUGGGUUUGUGGUGCCCAGGAUCGGCUCUCCCCUUGUUAAAAGGCUGGGGAAGGAGCGGCUUUGUCGCAGCCGGGAGGUGGCAGUGUGAGGUCUGGGAAAGCCCCAGUGCCAGUGCAGGGCUCAGGGCUGUGCCCGCUGCUCCCAGCACAAGCUGCAGGCUGCAGGCUGCUCGUGCCAGGCACCGGGAGGGGUCCUGGGGCAUCUCCCCCCUCCUGCAGCCUUGGCGAGCUCUGCUGCGCCCAGGCACCCUGAUGGAUGCCACGAUGCUGCUGGCAUCCAUCCCUCUCCGAGCCCUCCUGCCCUGCCUUCCCAGGGCCAUGUCUCCACGCUCUCCCCUUGCAGCCCGCAGGAAAACCAUGCGCUGCGAGCUGCUUUUGCCCUGCUUGGCAGAGGGCAGGCGCCUGCUGCGCCCCGGGGUGCUGCUGCUUCAUGGUGCUCUGCUCGGCUCCCUGCGUGCGGAGCCGUUUCUGAGCCCCAGGGCUGAGCUGUUCCUCUUGCAGCAGGUACAGCAGAGGCACUGCCAGCUCCUGAGCUCAGCCCGGGGGGCUCCACGUGGCUCCUGGAUCCUUCUCACCAGGCCUGCAGACCCUUUCCUCCCUUCCCAGCGCCACCUCCCUCCUGCCCAGCUCAAGCCGUUUGCUCCACUUGGGGUGAAUCUGCCUGGUCCUGGCUCCUCGCUGGGAUUUUCUCGGCAUGGAUCCCACGACUGCCAUCCCCAAACGGGUAACGCGGGCAGGGGCAGGAGCCUCGCCAUCCUCCUAGAUGCCCGCAGGAGCCCAGGGGCAGCCUGGAGCAGUGGAGACGAGGUGAAUGAGUUUGCCCAUCAGGCUGGCUGCAUGAUGCUGCCCUCCUGUCUGUGCUGUUCCCUCCUCUGCCUUUCCUGUGGCGAGGCUCCCGUGCCUGCAGGAGGGUGGCUGAGGGCGAGCAGAGGGCUCCCCAAAUCCUGGGAUGGUUUUCAGGAGCCUCAGCCAGCAGGCAAGGCAGUUCAUGCGGCACACAACAGGCCUUUUCUUUCUGGCUGUUGGUCCUGGCUCCCAGGGAGGGGUGAAAUGGCCUUGGGGCAGGUGGGCAACAGAAGCUCUCCAGAAUCCCAUUAAAACAUUUAACACCUGCUGAAUCGUGCCAUUGUCUGGGAGAUAAAGGGAAGGGAACAAAGCUGCUCUCCAUCUUCCCUGCCAGGGUGUCCGCGGGGCUCUGCUGUCCCACUGCAGGGGGGAGCCUGACUCCCCCACCAAGACCCACUCGGGGUGACCCCAUCUCCACUUGGGAACGGGCACAGUGCCGGGGGANNNNNNNNNNAUCACCUGGUCAGUGCCUCUGGGUUUGUGGUGCCCAGGAUCGGCUCUCCCCUUGUUAAAAGGCUGGGGAAGGAGCGGCUUUGUCGCAGCCGGGAGGUGGCAGUGUGAGGUCUGGGAAAGCCCCAGUGCCAGUGCAGGGCUCAGGGCUGUGCCCGCUGCUCCCAGCACAAGCUGCAGGCUGCAGGCUGCUCGUGCCAGGCACCGGGAGGGGUCCUGGGGCAUCUCCCCCC